GAACAUUUGAAUUGCAAUCAAAAAAUCUAAGUUUAAGUCUUAGAAUCCAC
rnacentral:tRNA from 1 species